rnacentral:lncRNA from 1 species
UUUUAGUUAGUAAUUUUUUAUUAUGUUUCAAGAAUACGUUACUAUUUUUGUAGUAUUUGGUUUGUACUAAAAUAAAUUUUAAAUCAAUACGAGAAAAGAUCUUGUCUUUUCAUUUAUUUUUAUUUUUUUUAUUUUAUUGAUUUUUUAUAUUUUUUUUACUUUUUUCGUUCGUUUUUUCUAUUCGUAGGAGUCUCAACUUGGUAGGAGAC